rnacentral:lncRNA from 1 species
CAAUUGGAAACUAAUUAACAAUAGUUUGCAAUUGUUCUUUCUUUUUGUUGUUAGCAGAAUUUUGAUUCAAUAGGUGAUCAUGAAAGUAUAUAGAAGCUCUUUUGUUUUAUCUUUUGAUAAGACUUCCUCCCUUUACUACUUCGAAAUUACGCCAGUAUAAUAACUCCAAUAUAUAAACAAAUUCUACGUGGACAAUAUAAAAACAAAAUUGAAAAAUUAAGGACAUUGAAGCUGUUUCUUAAAUAUAUAAUCGAUAUAGGAACCAGAAUUGUGUCAAAUAUAUGUAAUAUAUUUCACAAGAUUAUCAUUUCCUAAUUAGUGUUUUUUCAAGUACGAAUUUUCUUUUGACAUUUCCUCUUCAAGAUACAAGAAAGAAAAAUCAGGAUAAGUAGUUUAAUUUCCCUACUUCCUUUUCGUUUGAUAUCGGCAAUAAUUAAAGAUUCUUUUAUUUAAAUUACAUUAAAAACUUAUUUUUUAAUUUAAAUUACAUUAAAAACUUAUUUUUUAAUAAUAUUUCACUUUACAAUUUUAUAAAUAAAUAUACUUGACAAAUUAUUUAAUAAGUACCUCGAAUUAUCUUCUUUCGUAAAUUACUUUUGUAGAAUGAGUAUAUUGUCAUACUAUAUUAAAUAUAUCAGUGAAACAGUUAAUAUAAUUUAAAAUUUAAUCCAUUUUCCAGAACUAUAAUUAAUUGCAGAGAUGACAAUAUGGGAAAUUAACCCUAAAAAUCCCUAAUAUACACUUCUUACAUUAACGUGAAGAUAAAACAAUAACUUCCGUAAUUUAUGUGUUCAAUACAUGAUAUAAAUUUCCAAAAAUUUCAACGAAGGAAAACAAAGCAAUGACUUAUUCCUCUUCAGUUUUUCUUACACUACAUGCAACAAUUUAGCAUUAUACAGUACUUCACACUCUUAACACAAGAAUUUGAAUACAAUUUACAUGUAGUAUGUUGUUUCACAAUUCUAUAUCAUGGGUUAGGUUGUAAUAAAACAACUUAAUUUGCCUCUUUGCGUCUUCUAAAUUGGAAUGUGUUCCGAUCAUUUUAAUUAAUAUUUAAUUAUUUAAAAUUUAAAAAGAAAUAUACAAUUUAUACAGUUUUUACAUCUGUACCUUCUACUUGAUUGUUACUGAAUGAAAGGUAAGAUUUUGAUUGAAAAUUUCAUUUAGUCUACUUUACUACUAACUAAAUUAAUGUUUAGUUUUCUGUAUUUGCUAAAACAGAGAAAACUUUGUAAUAAAUUUGGAAUUCUGUACUUGAAUCCUAAUAAUUUAGAAAUUUCAAUUAUAUUUCGGACAUCUUUCGAGAUUUCCUUUCUCCUUCCAUAAUUACUUUUUAAUCUGUAAAAAGUAAAGGAUUACGUUUAUUAUUUCAAAAUAAAGAAAGGUGAUUGUUUGAGACAGAUUCACAAGAAAUCAUUUUUACCAAAUCAAUAAUUUGCAUUGAGAAUUAGAAAAGGGACAUUUAAAUAUGUUUUUCUUUUUCUCCGAAUUACAACAUUUAAUAGAAGUUAAAACAAAAGAAGACUUCUAUAAUGACGUAUUAGAAUGCAGUAUGAUGCAAAUUUCUAAAGACAAUGUUUAUAGAAACAAAGUCUGAUGCAUGAUGAAGGAAUAGUGAAAAACGUUUUAGUGCUGAUUACAGAAUUUCCAGGGUAGGAGAAAAGUUAAUCAUUAUCACUGCAAAGAAGUUGGAAGUAAUGGUAUUUGUUUUAUUAUCUAAUUUUAAACAAUUUAUAUACUGUAACUACGAAUACAUUUCCUACGUUUAGAUAAAAGAUAACUAUAUAUUUUUAUAAUUUAAAAUUAACAUGAUAUAUCUUCAUUUAAGUAUAGAAAUAUAAAUUCACGUAAUAAAUAGUUAUAUUCUUAUAUAUGAAGGAUAGUGAUGGCCAACCUGUGAACCGACGAGUUUCAAGAUACCUACAAUGAGUUUUUAUAAAUUAUGUUAAAAUAUUUGAUAGAUUUCAAAACUUUACAUACAUACUCCAUCUCAAUUUUUUUUCCUGCAUUUUUAGUCUAAAUUCAAAAUAUUUUCCAUGUUUCUCUCAAAUAAUUUUCUCUCAAAGCUUCUUAUAUCACAUAUUAUGGACUGAAGUGUCAAUUACAAAUACAAAACUCAGCAACUACAUUUUGAUAGCAUAAAUAUAGUUGAAAACAUCUCUUGCAAUACAUUGCAUAGUUGCAAUUAACGCUGAUUUUCUCUGAUUGGUUAAGAGUUUGGCUUGCAUCUUAUUUCAGGUGGCAUGUUAUAAUGAAUUUUAAUGAAAUUUCUUGUCCGAUGUUUUUGUUUAUUUACAUAUGUCCGGUUUUUUAUUGUGAUAUUAAGAGAAGCAAAUUGCUAGUGUGAAAAGAAAGUUGAUGUCCUCUCAACUGAAUAAAAAUUAAUAAUUUUAAUUUUUGGAUGGAAAUCCUCAAAUGAAAAAGAAGGAAGUUGCAACAAGUUUGAUAGUCUGUCGAGUACUCUUUCAACUGUAGUAAAGAACAGAUAUUCAGUAGAGAAUCUUUUAAAAGAAUAAAAAUAAAGUGAAAAAAUGUUCUUUUCCAGACGUAGAUGAAUGUAUAAGAAAAUGGUUUGUGUAUUGUCCUGACCAAGGUAUUUCUCUUAGCAGAAUGAUGUUACAAAGGAAAGCCAAGGAUUUUGAAAAACGUCUUGCCAUAGCAAAUUUAAAGUCAGCAGUGGAUGACUUCAGAACUUCAAAAGUAGACACAACAUAGUCUUCAGAAAAUUUGUGGCCAAAGGGCAUUGGUGCCUCAAAGUGUUUGUGAAGAAUGGAUCAGGGAGCUCCCUUCUCUCAUGCGCGGCUAUGAGGCAGUGCAUGUCUUCACCACAGAUGAAACAGUCCUUUUCCCCUAUGUUUACCCAACAGAACGGAAACAUAUAAGGGAGAAGAGUACCGAUGUAGGAAACAGAGUAAAGUAAGUGUAACUGUACUCUUAGCAAUUAAACUGUAAGUGAAAACUUCCACUAAUGAUGAUUGGUUGAAAGUGAAGCCCUAAAGCUGCCGUGAAGAGUCUUAAAUACCACAAAUUAUGAACCUCAUAUAGAAAUAUUAACGUCAAAUAAUAUCAGAUCACAUCAUUAUUAUCUUUACUUAUACAAUUUAUUAUUUUUCUGAUAUGGAUUAAAAAAUCAAAUAAAGUAAAAUUUGUAUUUUAUUUUUUUUCAAUUACUCAAAGUAAAUAUCUACCCCGCAAUUUGGAGUUAAUAAAUUUCGAAUUCAGUUUUGACUCAGCUUCAGAAAAAGGUUUGCCAUCAUUGACGUAGGACGUUCAAUAAGUAAUGCUUCCACGCAAAUGUUUUGCUCACGAGUUGUUGCCUAGCAAGCAGUUAGACAAUAAAUAACUCUUAGCUUCAUUACCUACAUUCUAAUGCGUAAUAAAACAUCAAGCCUCUUAUAGUUAACUUAAAUGUUUGUUAAAAUGGAUGAUAAGUUUUCAACUGUGUUGGCAUGUGUGAAAUAACGAUUGGCUACAAAAUCGACCAGUCAUGAAAAUGAGUCUUCCAAAGAAAUUUAUGCAAGGCUAGUAAUAGUUUAUAGUGUUUGAACUGUGGACAAAACCAAUGAUUUUGCAACAUGAUUAUGUUAGACUCCACUCCAUUGCUUUUACAUCAGAAACGUUACAGAAACUGGUUUGAAUUUCUUUACAAUCCAGAAUUCGAAUCCUCAGAAUAUUUUGCCUAAUUUGACAUCUCAAGAGUAGACACCUGAGACGAUGCUGAAGUCACCACGAGAAAAUGGUUCUGAGAAUAUUCUACAGAGACGAGUUUGAAAGUGAAUAGAUAUUGGCGUAUGUGUAUCGAACAUGGAGAGGACUACGAAGAGAAAUGAAGUGUGGAAAUUAAAUUAGAAAUACUAGACUUUAUUCUUGUUUUGAUUUCAGUUUGAUAUCUUGCCACUGAGCAUGCAUAUAAAUAUGGAGGAAUCACCUGUCGAACGCCCCUCGUAUAUAAUUAAAUAGUAUCAUAUUCUUAUAAUUAAUUGUAAUAUAUAAUUAUAUAUUUUAUUGUAUUGUAUGUAUAACAUGCAAAUAAGUUGUUACUUUAAGGAUGUAAACAAUUCAUUUUUUUAUUUAUUGCUAUUUUGAGAUGAUUGAUUAAUGGCAAUAGCUGCAAAUAAGUAUUUUGCCCUCGUGAAGAAUAUUUAUAUUCAUUCGGCAUUAAUUUUUGCGGUUUUUAACAUUAAAUCGUUCUUGUAUAUAGUUUAAAAUGACAAAUCUGUAUUGAGAAUGCUUCUUCUCUAAUAAGAACAAUUAAUUGCAAUUGCAUAAUACAUUUUCCGAAUUUUCAUUUGAUGUAAUUAAUGAAAUAGCAAUGAAUAAAU